CAGCCGCCGCGGUAAUACGGAGGGUGCAAGCGUUAAUCGGAAUUACUGGGCGUAAAGCGCACGCAGGCGGUCUGUCAAGUCAGAUGUGAAAUCCCCGGGCUUAACCUGGGAACUGCAUUUGAAACUGGCAGGCUAGAGUCUUGUAGAGGGGGGUAGAAUUCCAGGUGUAGCGGUGAAAUGCGUAGAGAUCUGGAGGAAUACCGGUGGCGAAGGCGGCCCCCUGGACAAAGACUGACGCUCAGGUGCGAAAGCGUGGGGAGCAAACAGGAUUAGAGACCCCGGUAGUCCCUGUCUCUUAUAC
rnacentral:rRNA from 1 species